GGAGUUAGCCGGUGCUUCUUCUGUGAGUGAUGUCCUUCCUGCCGGCUAUUAACCCGCAGGCCUUCUUCCUCACUGAAAGUUCUUUACAACCCGAAGGCCUUCUUCACACACGCGGCAUGGCUGGAUCAGGGUUGCCCCCAUUGUCCAAUAUUCCCCACUGCUGCCUCCCGUAGGAGUCUGGGCCGUGUCUCAGUCCCAGUGUGGCUGAUCAUCCUCUCAGACCAGCUACGGAUCGUCGCCUUGGUGAGCCGUUACCUCACCAACCAGCUAAUCCGACAUAGGCUCAUCCGAUAGCGCGAGGCCCGAAGGUCCCCCGCUUUCCCCCGUAGGGCGUAUGCGGUAUUAGCCUGGGUUUCCCCAGGUUAUCCCCCACUACCGGGCAGAUUCCUAUGCAUUACUCACCCGUCCGCCGCUCGCCACCAGGGAGCAAGCUCCCCGUGCUGCCGCUCGACUUGCAUGUGUUAGGCCUGCCGCCAGCGUUCAAUCUGAGCCAGGAUCAAACUCUGA
rnacentral:rRNA from 1 species